UUGUGCCGUCCCCCUAACGCUGGGCAGUACACUAGAGGAUCUUAUGGAGCUAAUUGGCGCUUCAGAGGAUGGUGGAUGGUUUGGAGCCGACCAACCAAAAGCUUUAACAGGCGAUAUUAUAAUCGUAAUACUAAUUUGGUUAUCUAGUGUAAUGUUUUUUUCUGUUUCUUGUAGAAUUUUUCAAUGAUAUUGUGUCAAUGGGAAUGGAUGAAGUCCAGUCAAGCCUUGUGAAUGUGCACUCUCAAAGUAUAGUCGCACUACAACCUUUGAUUGAAGUUGAGACAAUGCCCAGUCCAUCUGCAUCAGAGAUCCAACUAAAGGCGCCGAUGCCUUAGUUCAUUGAGGAUGACACCUGUUGUCAAGGGACAAUAUAUGCAUUCAGCAGCGAUAUGGCUAUGGGGUAAUGGAUUGACUCAACCACAUAUAUACAACUGAUUGGCUCUUGGCACCAUCCUCCAUCGUGAGCUCAUGGGGAAUGAUGCCAAUCGACAAUGGAUGAGUAUAUAAGUGCACGUGAUACUAACAUAGCAACGUAUGAAAUGACUCUAGAUCCCUGCACAGAAUUGG